GUCGAUCUGGUGCGCGGCGGCGACGAGGUGGCUCAAACCCUUCUGGCGGGUGAUCCUUCCCACGAAGGCCACGAUCGGCUUCGUGGGAUCGAUCCCA
rnacentral:tRNA from 1 species